rnacentral:rRNA from 1 species
UAACCCUUUGUUGUCCGACUCUGUUGCCUCCGGGGCGACCCUGCCUUCGGGCGGGGGCUCCGGGUGGACACUUCAAACUCUUGCGUAACUUUGCAGUCUGAGUAAACUUAAUUAAUAAAUUAAAACUUUUAACAACGGAUCUCUUGGUUCUGGCAUCGAUGAAGAACGCAGCGAAAUGCGAUAAGUAAUGUGAAUUGCAGAAUUCAGUGAAUCAUCGAAUCUUUGAACGCACAUUGCGCCCCCUGGUAUUCCGGGGGGCAUGCCUGUUCGAGCGUCAUUUCACCACUCAAGCCUCGCUUGGUAUUGGGCAACGCGGUCCGCCGCGUGCCUCAAAUCGUCCGGCUGGGUCUUCUGUCCCCUAAGCGUUGUGGAAACUAUUCGCUAAAGGGUGUUCGGGAGGCUACGCCGUAAAACAACCCCAUUUCUAAGGUUGACCUCGGAUCAGGUAGGGAUACCCGCUGAACUUAAGC